AUUCAGUUGACGAGUCCCAGAUAGGACGAAACGUGCGAACUGAAU
rnacentral:hammerhead_ribozyme from 1 species